rnacentral:rRNA from 1 species
UACAGGGGGGGCAAGCGUUGUUCGGAAUUACUGGGCGUAAAGGGUUCGUAGGUGGCCAACUAAGUCAGACGUGAAAUCCCUCAGCUUAACUGGGGAACUGCGUCUGAUACUGGAUGGCUUGAGUGUAGGAGAGGAAUGCGGAAUUCCAGGUGUAGCGGUGAAAUGCGUAGAUAUCUGGAGGAACACCGGUGGCGAAGGCGGCAUCCUGGACCGGCAUUGACGCUGAGGCGCGAAAGCCAGGGGAGCAAACGGG